AUUGAACGCUGGCGGCAUGCCUUACACAUGCAAGUCGAACGGCAGCACGGGGCAACCUGGUGGCGAGUGGCGAACGGGUGAGUAAUGCAUCGGAACGUACCUUUCAGUGGGGGAUAACGUAGCGAAAGUUACGCUAAUACCGCAUAUUCUGUGAGCAGGAAAGCAGGGGAUCGCAAGACCUUGCGCUGAUUGAGCGGCCGAUGUCAGGUUAGCUAGUUGGUGAGGUAAAGGCUCACCAAGGCGACGAUCUGUAGCGGGUCUGAGAGGAUGAUCAGCCAGACUGGAACUGAGACACGGACCAGACUCCAACGGGAGGCAGCAGUGGGGAAUUUUGGACAAUGGGGGCAAACCUGAUCCAGCCAUGCCGGGUGAGUGAAGAAGGCCUUCGGGUUGUAAAGCUCUUUCGGCCGGGAAGAAAUCGCACGGGCUAAUACCCUGUGUGGAUGACGGUACCGGAAUAAGAAGCACCGGCUAACUACGUGCCAGCCGCCGCGGUAACAC
rnacentral:rRNA from 1 species